CGCCAAUUAAAGUGGUACGUGAGUUGGGUUCAGAACGUCGCGAGACAGUUCGGUCCCUAUCUGCCGUGGGUGUAGGAUACUUGAGAGGAGUUGCCCCUAGUACGAGAGGACCGGGGUGAACGAUCCACUGGUGGACCUGUUGUCGUGCCAACGGCAGUGCAGGGUAGCUAUGAUCGGACAGGAUAACCGCUGAAGGCAUCUAAGCGGGAAGCCCCCCUCAAAACAAGGUAUCCCUGAGGGCCGAGGUAGACCACCUCGUCGAUAGGCCAGAGAUGUAAGCGCAGCAAUGCGUUCAGUUGACUGGUACUAAUUGUUCGCAAGGU
rnacentral:rRNA from 15 species